UAGGGAAUAUUGGACAAUGGGUGCAACCCUGAUCCAGCCAUGCCGCGUGAGUGAAGAAGGCCUUCGGGUUGUAAAGCUCUUUCGGCGGGGACGAAACGGUCCGUGACAACACCACGGACUAAUGACAGUACUCGCAGAAGAAGCACCGGCUAACUACGUGCCAGCAGCCGCGGUAAUACGUAGGGUGCAGGCGUUAAUCGGAAUUACUGGGCGUAAAGCGUGCGCAGGCGGCUCCUUAAGUCAGGUGUGAAAUCCCCGGGCUUAACCUGGGAAUUGCGCUUGUAACUGGCAGGCUAGAGUGUGGCAGAGGGGGGUGGAAUUCCACGUGUAGCAGUGAAAUGCGUAGAUAUGUGGAGGAACACCGAUGGCGAAGGCAGCCCCCUGGGUUAACACUGACGCUCAUGCACGAAAGCGUGGGGAGCAAACAGGAUUAGAUACCCUCGUAGUCCCUGAGCGGGCUGGCAAGGCGCAU
rnacentral:rRNA from 1 species